ACGAACGCUGGCGGCACGCUUAACACAUGCAAGUCGAACGAGAGAAGAGAAGCUUGCUUUUCUGAUCUAGUGGCGGACGGGUGAGUAACACGUGAGCAAUCUGCCUUUCAGAGGGGGAUACCGAUUGGAAACGAUCGUUAAUACCGCAUAACAUAAUUGAACCGCAUGAUUUGAUUAUCAAAGAUUUAUCGCUGAAAGAUGAGCUCGCGUCUGAUUAGCUAGUUGGUAAGGUAACGGCUUACCAAGGCGACGAUCAGUAGCCGGACUGAGAGGUUGAUCGGCCACAUUGGGACUGAGACACGGCCCAGACUCCUACGGGAGGCAGCAGUAGGGAAUAUUGCACAAUGGAGGAAACUCUGAUGCAGCGAUGCCGCGUGAGGGAAGAAGGUUUUAGGAUUGUAAACCUCUGUCUUCAGGGACGAAAAAAGACGGUACCUGAGGAGGAAGCUCCGGCUAACUACGUGCCAGCAGCCGCGGUAAUACGUAGGGAGCGAGCGUUGUCCGGAAUUACUGGGUGUAAAGGGAGCGUAGGCGGGAUCGCAAGUCAGAUGUGAAAACUAUGGGCUUAACCCAUAAACUGCAUUUGAAACUGUGGUUCUUGAGUGAAGUAGAGGUAAGCGGAAUUCCUAGUGUAGCGGUGAAAUGCGUAGAUAUUAGGAGGAACAUCAGUGGCGAAGGCGGCUUACUGGGCUUUAACUGACGCUGAGGCUCGAAAGCGUGGGGAGCAAACAGGAUUAGAUACCCUGGUAGUCCACGCCGUAAACGAUGAUUACUAGGUGUGGGGGGACUGACCCCUUCCGUGCCGCAGCAAACGCAAUAAGUAAUCCACCUGGGGAGUACGACCGCAAGGUUGAAACUCAAAGGAAUUGACGGGGGCCCGCACAAGCAGUGGAGUAUGUGGAUUAAUUCGAAGCAACGCGAAGAACCUUACCAGGUCUUGACAUCGUAUGCAUAGCUCAGAGAUGAGUGAAAUCUCUUCGGAGACAUAUAGACAGGUGGUGCAUGGUUGUCGUCAGCUCGUGUCGUGAGAUGUUGGGUUAAGUCCCGCAACGAGCGCAACCCUUACUGUUAGUUGCUACGCAAGAGCACUCUAGCAGGACUGCCGUUGACAAAACGGAGGAAGGUGGGGAUGACGUCAAAUCAUCAUGCCCCUUAUGACCUGGGCCUCACACGUACUACAAUGGCUGUCAACAGAGGGAAGCAAAGCCGCGAGGUGGAGCAAACCCCUAAAAGCAGUCUUAGUUCGGAUUGUAGGCUGCAACCCGCCUACAUGAAGUCGGAAUUGCUAGUAAUCGCAGAUCAGCAUGCUGCGGUGAAUACGUUCCCGGGCCUUGUACACACCGCCCGUCACGCCAUGGGAGUCGGUAACACCCGAAGCCUGUAGUCUAACCGCAAGGAGGACGCAGUCGAAGGUGGGAUUGAUGACUGGGGUG
rnacentral:rRNA from 1 species